GAGCUGUGGGGCUUUUGAGUCACAUCCUGCCGGCGAGUCUAGGGGCUCUGGAAGAAGCUGUGAGACGAGACGUGGUGAGGAAAAUGAUCCGGUUUCUGAAGGCUGGCGGGCAAACCACGACCAAUUAUGCCAUGAAGGUCCUUGCAGCUUGUGCCAAGAGUAGCCGGCUGGCUCCGAUGCAGAUUGUGAAACUGGAUAAAAAAUGCCGCCUGUUGCUGAAGCUUCUGUCCUGGCC
rnacentral:lncRNA from 1 species